GACGAACGCUGGCGGCGCGCCUAACACAUGCAAGUCGAGCGAGAAGCGACCCUUCGGGGACGUGGAAGCGGCGAACGGGUGAGUAUCACGUGGGUAAUCUGCCCUCGGUUCUGGGAUAGCCCGGGGAAACCCGGAUUAAUACCGGAUAGCCUCUCGAGCCUUUGGGUUCGUGAGAAAAGGUAGCUUCGGCCUCUGACCGAGGAUGAGCCCGCGGCGGAUUAGCUUGAUGGUUGAGGUAACGGCUCACCAUGGCAACAAUCCGUAGCUGGUCUGAGAGGACGAUCAGCCACACUGGGACUGAGACACGGCCCAGACUCCUACGGGAGGCAGCAGUGGGGAAUCUUGCGCAAUGGGCGAAAGCCUGACGCAGCGACGCCGCGUACGGGAAGAAGGCCUUCGGGUUGUAAACUGUUUUCAGGAGGGACGAAGCCACUCGAGUUAACAGCUCAGAGGGUGACGGUACCUCCAGAAGAAGCCCCGGCUAACUACGUG
rnacentral:rRNA from 1 species